AAGUCGUAACAAGGUUUCCGUAGGUGAACCUGCGGAAGGAUCAUUAGAGAAUAUGAGGGAGCGGGGUAAAACCUGCUCUUUUGUUUCUUGUGAACUGGUUGUUGGUCUGUUAUUUUCGAGUUGGGAAGAGGAGGAAAAAGAUGCGAGUAGCAACUAGCUUUGGGUUACUAUUUGUUCUAGCUAGUGCUGUUCUUGUCCAGACCUCUUUUUUUUUUCCCAGGCUUGAGAGUAACGGGCUAGCAAUUUUACUGUUUUUCAUUUUUUUUUUAUUGUUGUUAAAUAAGACAACUUUCAGCAAUGGAUCUCUUGGCUCUU
rnacentral:misc_RNA from 1 species